rnacentral:lncRNA from 1 species
AAGAGUCCAAAUGAGGCUACUUUGUACAUAAAGUCAGAAGUAUUAAAUAUCUUUAUCCUUUCACUUUAUGUGGAUGAUCUUAUUAUUGCGGGAAAAAAUUCAUCUAUGAUAAAAGUAUUCAAGUAAAAUAUGACGAAGCAGUCAAAACAAUCAACCUUCUUUAUUUAUAGUCGUUGACACGCUUAUUUGCUGCCUUUUAAAUUUGAAUUCAUGCUCCAUGUGUCCAAAUUUCUUGUAAAAACUACACUGUGAAUUUUCGUUAUCCCAGGAAUUUCUUUCUUUAUGAUUUUAUUUCUUACAGAUUUUACAAUAAGGUAAUUUAUUUUUCUUGUCUUCUUUUCUGCUCCCUAUAUUAUAUUGCCUCGAAUUUUUGGUUUAUUUGAUCUUGAGCAUGAAAGUUUAUGCUUCGACUACAAGACACCUUAU